rnacentral:rRNA from 1 species
AGCUCCAAUAGCAUAUAUUAAAGUUGUUGCGGUUAAAAAGCUCGUAGUUGGAUUUCUGCCAAGGGCAACCGGUCUGCCUGCUGGGUGAGUAUUCGGUUUGGCCUGGGCAUCCUCGUGGAGAAUGUGGCUGCACUUGACUGUGUGGUGCAGUACCCACGACAUUUACUUUGAGGAAAUUAGAGUGUUUCAGGCAGGUGGCAUGCCUUGGAUACAUGAGCAUGGAAUAAUUGGACAGAGCCUCUGUUCUAUCUUGUUGGUUUCUAGAGCUGAGGUUAUGGUUAAUAGGGAUAGCUGGGGGCAUCUGUAUUUAACUGUCAGAGGUGAAAAUCUUGGAUUUGUUAAAGACAAACUCAUGCAAAAGCAUUUGCCAAGGAUGUUUUCA